AGAGGGUGACCGGCCACACUGGGACUGAGACACGGCCCAGACUCCUACGGGAGGCAGCAGUGGGGAAUAUUGCACAAUGGGCGCAAGCCUGAUGCAGCGACGCCGCGUGAGGGAUGACGGCCUUCGGGUUGUAAACCUCUUUCAGUAGGGAAGAAGCGAAAGUGACGGUACCUGCAGAAGAAGCGCCGGCUAACUACGUGCCAGCAGCCGCGGUAAUACGUAGGGCGCAAGCGUUAUCCGGAAUUAUUGGGCGUAAAGAGCUCGUAGGCGGUUUGUCGCGUCUGCCGUGAAAGUCCGGGGCUCAACUCCGGAUCUGCGGUGGGUACGGGCAGACUAGAGUGAUGUAGGGGAGACUGGAAUUCCUGGUGUAGCGGUGAAAUGCGCAGAUAUCAGGAGGAACACCGAUGGCGAAGGCAGGUCUCUGGGCAUUAACUGACGCUGAGGAGCGAAAGCAUGGGGAGCGAACAGGAUUAGAUACCCUGGUAGUCCAUGCCGUAAACGUUGGGCACUAGGUGUGGGGGACAUUCCACGUUUUCCGCGCCGUAGCUAACGCAUUAAGUGCCCCGCCUGGGGG
rnacentral:rRNA from 1 species